GCGGCCGGCGCCGCCGCCGCCAUCGCCGUCUCCUGGCAACGCCGCGGGCCGCGCCGGGCGGCCGGGAGGAGGCGCCGUGCCUAAGGGCCAUCAUUAGCCGGGUUCUCAUUAACCAUCUCAGCGAGGGGACUUGCUGAUGUGCUUUGGCUUGCUGCCUGAAAGGAUCCUGUCCAUCAGCUCACUGUUUUGUGCAGGCAAAGCCUAAGAAUUUGCUUUAUUACGCUCUUCUUGCAUCCGACAGUAAAACUGUGGGAAACUUUAGGACCUGAUCAGGAAGGUGGGAGCCCCCACGGGCAUGCCUGUUUUCCGGAGCAUUAUAAGGGUGUGGAGCAUCAUGUCUGACUAACCCUACCGGAAGAUCAUGAGUCAGAUCCAGUUCGUGAUGCGCCAAUGUCCUUUCACUUCCAAACAGCAGCCCUGGACUGGGUGCUCGGUCCCAACAAUGCGCAUCUCUUCCCCCUAAAAUUGGUGACGUAGCCAGUGCCGCAGCAACAUGGCUUUUCUGGGGAUGAGAGGCGCAAGCCAACCUACUUAUAUAACUGGAGGAAAAAAAUAAUACAAUGGCAAUGCCAGUCCUAUUUCUGGCCCGUUGACAGAGUUGAUUUAUUAUGUCACGCUCCUGAUCUCACCGGGCUUUGCAGAAGAAUCUGACAAGGAUGCUGCAAAUCCACAUAAUGGCCAGAAUAUGUCAAAACUCAUCUUCAGGACACAUCUGAGUCAUAAUCGCAUCUGAUCCAUAGGCGAAGGAACACACUUUCUGGCCUCAUUAGUGCUGUAGGAGGCACAGCGCUUACUUGAGGUUCUUCAUCACUUAUAGGAACUCAGUGCCAAAGCGAAAUAAAGAGAUUU